rnacentral:rRNA from 1 species
UUGAACGCUGGCGGCAUGCCUUACACAUGCAAGUCGAACGGCAGCACGGGAGCAAUCCUGGUGGCGCGUGGCGAACGGGUGAGUAAUGCAUCGGAACGUACCCAGUCGUGGGGGAUAACUACGCGAAAGCGUGGCUAAUACCGCAUACGCCCUGAGGGGGAAAGCGGGGGACCUUCGGGCCUCGCGCGAUUGGAGCGGCUGAUGUCGGAUUAGCUGGUUGGUGGGGUAAAGGCCUACCAAGGCGACGAUCCGUAGCUGGUCUGAGAGGAGGAUCAGCCACACUGGGACUGAGACACGGCCCAGACUCCUACGGGAGGCAGCAGUGGGGAAUUUUGGACAAUGGGCGCAAGCCUGAUCCAGCCAUGCCGCGUGAGUGAAGAAGGCCUUCGGGUUGUAAAGCUCUUUCAGACGGAAAGAAAUCGGGCGGGUGAAUAGCCUGCCUGGAUGACGGUACUGUCAGAAGAAGCGCCGGCUAACUACGU